CUUGUUGUUAUUUUUUUGACCUGCUGGAAGUACUGAGGAACUCCUGAGUGCCCAUGCCAGCAAUCUGCAACUUUGACUUCCCCUCCCCAGGUGGAACAAGCCCCAGCUGCUGUGCAUCUGCUCCCAGUGCUCUCAGUGGGGCCCAGAAACCAUGGAGCCAAGUGACCAUGAACUAAACCUCUGGAACUGAAAGCCAAAACAUUAAAAAAAUGUUAAUGGCCUACAUGCAACAAGCUGUUGAUGUAACCUGCCUGUGGAGAGGAGACUCCAAUUCCAGCAGGUGCCCACUUUGACAGCUCCCAGAUGCAGAUUCCCACCAGCAGAGAUCACUUGGAUUAGAGGAUGUCAUGCAACACACCGAGGCCUUAACUAACUAUACUCAACAAGACUUAAAUGAUAAUUCAACUGGUCUCUCUCCUAAGUGAAGAAGUAAAAUUAAUGAGACAAGCUAUCCUCCAAAAUUGAAUGCCAUUAGACAUUCUAACCGCAGACAAGGGGGUACUUGUGCAAUUGUAAAAGCUGAAUGUUGUGUGUACAUUCCUGAUACUUCUGCUGAUAUCUUAAUGGCUGUCCAAGAUGUUAAAUGACAGGUUAAGGACAUGUCAGAUUCUGAAAGUCCCUGGACCUUCUCCUUACCCUCUUUGUGGGAGAUUAUUACUGGCUCUCCAUGGUAGAAUCAUUUAUUGGUUGUAUUCAUAACAGUCUUGUAGAUUUACUAUGUGGCCCAUGCAUACUUAAGUGUUUCUUUGGCUUUGUCUUCUCCAGAUUUAAAGCUAUAUGCCUAUCCAAGACAAGAACACCUGACAUCUAUCUAGGACCUUUAGAUAGACUCUCUGGAGAGUGUCCCUAACUACCAAUCACAACUAUCACUCCCUUCAUCCUGAAGUACCCAGAACAGUCAUUUCCCCUUGCC
ensembl:lncRNA